rnacentral:rRNA from 1 species
UAUCUCUGUAGAGUCUGCAUAUCAAUAAGCGGAGGAAAAGAAACUAACUAGGAUUCCCUUAGUAACGGCGAGUGAAGCGGGAAGAGCUCAAAUUUGAAAUCUUCAAGGUUUUACCUUGACGAAUUGUAGUUUAAAGAAGUGUUUUACUGUUGGUAGUUUUGGUAAAAGUUCUUUGGAAUAGGACAUCAUAGAGGGUGAGAAUCCCGUAUUUGACCAUUACUUCCAGCUUUGUGAUACACUUUCAAAGAGUCGGAUUGUUUGGGAAUGCAGUCCAAAAUGGGUGGUAAAUUUCAUCUAAAGCUAAAUACUUGGCGAGAGACCGAUAGCGAACAAGUACCGUGAGGGAAAGAUGAAAAGAACUUUGAAAAGAGAGUUAAACAGUACGUGAAAUUGUCAAAAGGGAAGCGUUUGACACCAGUGUUGUUUUCUCGAAAAUCAAUUAAAAAAAGUUGGAUUUUGUAUUGUUAAGACCUUAUCAGCUUACUGUACUCUUUUCUUGCUUUUUUUAAUGCACUUUUCGUUUAACAAGUCAACAUCAAUUUCUUUUGUUGUAAAAGAGUCAUUGGAAGGUGGCUUUCACUUCGGUGAAAGUGUUUAUAGCCUUUGGCUUCUGCAAUCGGAGAGAUUGAGGUCUGCAGCGUAGAUCCUUCGGGGCUAGAUACGUAGAUGCUAAGUUAUAGUUUUUUAUAGACAACUUGUUGACUAUAAUUAAUCAUGUAGCUUACUCGUUUGCGCUAUUUUACCUACGCUUAGGAUGUUGAAGAUGUAGCACAUCAU